CUUUCCGGUGGCUAGGGUUAGGGUUUGGUGUUGAUGGGGGUUAUUUAUAUUCGUCCGCUUUUGAUCUGGACCAUCCAUCACGUUUGAUCUGGAUCGUUUGAUUUGGAUGGUCCGAUCACGAUCCAAUCUGGAUCGUUCAUCGCGAUCUAAUCUGGAUCGUCGAAUCGCGUUCAAAUCUGACUGUCCGAUCAUGUUUGGGGAGGGAACGCAUCUGGGCCGUUCGUGCGCGCAAGAACGGAUAUGAGCCAUUUGAUUGCAGGAGCGUGGACCACCCGCGUGGUAUUGCGUGAGUGUUCACUGCCACGCGUCCUGUUCUAGUUCGUCGGGGCUACU
rnacentral:lncRNA from 1 species